rnacentral:rRNA from 1 species
GAAAAAUCUGUUUGUAGCUAGUAUUGUGAAAAAGUAUAGUGUUGUAAUUUCGUAGGGAAUAGUUAUAUUAAUAGAAAUUAUUGACUAGUGUUCUUUUUGUAUCAUGAUUUGUAAAGAGAGAAUGAAGAUUUUAUAUCCUGAAAAUUUUAGAGUAAUUCCCAUAUAUUUCUAAUGUUUCAAAAUUGGAGUAAAAAAAUGGGAAUGGUAAUGAAAUGUUUUUCGAGAGAAUUGAUAGCUGGUUUAAGGGGAAAUAUAUUUUAGUAUAGACAGAAUUUAUUUAUUAAAAUAAUAGUUUUAUUAAAAUUUUAAUAAGAUUUUGAUUCAGAUUUUAGGGGUAAGCUCUAAGGUGAAAGAAUAAAAAAUACUAUUAACUAGUAGGGUUGAUAUUGGCCACCUAUAAGAAGUAUUAUUAUAAAACAAAAAUAAAAAAAUUUUUUAUUAAGUACCUUUAUGCUUAAGAUAAUUAUUGGUGAAGAACUUAGUAUAAAAUUAGUAAUAGAUGCGGUAUAAAAUGAAAAUUGUGUUUCAAAUAAAAAGUUAUUGAUAUUGACUCUAAGUAAAAGUUUAUUUUUUAUUAAUAUUUUUAAAAGGAAUUUGGCUAAUUUUUUUUACGCCUGUUUAUCAAAAACAUGGCCUUUUGGUUUUAUGAAGUGUAAAAGGUCUGACCUGCCCAGUGGUUCUCUAAAUGGCUGCAGUGAGUAGCUGUACGAAGGUAGCGUAAUUAGUUGCCCUUUAAAUGGGGGAAGGUAUGAAAGGUUUGACGGUAAAAAAGCUGUCUCUUAAAAAUGGUAUGAAGUUUCCAUUUAAGUGAAAAGGCUUAGAUUUUUUAAAAAGACGAGAAGACCCUAUUGAGCUUGAUUAUGGGUUUUUAAAAAAAAAAGUUGAAGUUUUGUUGGGGCAAUAGGAAGCUAUUACAAACGCUUCCUUUAAGAAUAGGGAUCCUUCGUGGAAGAAGAAAGCAAAAGCUACCAUAGGGAUAACAGCGUUAUCUUUCUUAAGAGUUCUAAUUAAGGGAAAGGUUUGCGACCUCGAUGUUGGAUUAAAAUUUCUUUUUGGUGCAGCAGCUAAAAAAGUAAGACUGUUCGUCUUUUAAAAUUUUACAUGAACUGAGUUAAGACCGGUGUGAACUAGGUCGGUUUCUAUCUUUUUUUUAUGGCAGCUUUGUACGAAAGGAUCGGCUGGUAAUGUUUUACUUUUUU